UGCUUCUCUGAUGUUAGCGGCGGACGGGUGAGUAACACGUGGAUAACCUACCUAUAAGACUGGGAUAACUUCGGGAAACCGGAGCUAAUACCGGAUAAUAUUUUGAACCGCAUGGUUCAAAAGUGAAAGACGGUCUUGCUGUCACUUAUAGAUGGAUCCGCGCUGCAUUAGCUAGUUGGUAAGGUAACGGCUUACCAAGGCAACGAUGCAUAGCCGACCUGAGAGGGUGAUCGGCCACACUGGAACUGAGACACGGUCCAGACUCCUACGGGAGGCAGCAGUAGGGAAUCUUCCGCAAUGGGCGAAAGCCUGACGGAGCAACGCCGCGUGAGUGAUGAAGGUCUUCGGAUCGUAAAACUCUGUUAUUAGGGAAGAACAUAUGUGUAAGUAACUGUGCACAUCUUGACGGUACCUAAUCAGAAAGCCACGGCUAACUACGUGCCAGCAGCCGCGGUAAUACGUAGGUGGCAAGCGUUAUCCGGAAUUAUUGGGCGUAAAGCGCGCGUAGGCGGUUUUUUAAGUCUGAUGUGAAAGCCCACGGCUCAACCGUGGAGGGUCAUUGGAAACUGGAAAACUUGAGUGCAGAAGAGGAAAGUGGAAUUCCAUGUGUAGCGGUGAAAUGCGCAGAGAUAUGGAGGAACACCAGUGGCGAAGGCGACUUUCUGGUCUGUAACUGACGCUGAUGUGCGAAAGCGUGGGGAUCAAAC
rnacentral:rRNA from 1 species